rnacentral:tRNA from 4 species
GGCUUUAUAGCUCAGUCGGUAGAGCAACGGUCUGAAGAACCGUGUGUCGGUGGUUCGAUUCCGCCUAAAGCCACCA